rnacentral:rRNA from 1 species
GACAGAGGGUGCAAACGUUGUUCGGAAUUACUGGGCGUAAAGCGCGUGUAGGUGGCAAGGCAAGUCGGGUGUGAAAGCCCUGGGCUCAACCCAGGAAGUGCACUCGAUACUGCCUCGCUAGAGUCCCGGAGAGGUUGGUGGAACUCUCGGUGUAGAGGUGAAAUUCGUAGAUAUCGAGAAGAACACCGGUGGCGAAGGCGGCCAACUGGACGGUGACUGACACUGAGACGCGAAAGCGUGGGGAG